rnacentral:rRNA from 1 species
UCCGUCAUGGCCUUUAUGCCCAGGGCUACACCACGUGCUACAAUGGGUGGUACAAAGAGCAGCCAGCUCGCGAGAGUGAGCAAAUCUCAAAAAGCCAAUCCUCAGUUCGGAUUGAAGUCUGCAACUCGCCUGCAUGAAGUUGGAGUUGCUAGUAAACGCAGGUCAGCUAUACUGCGUUGAAUACGUUCCCGGGGUUU